GGCGACGUAGCCAAGUGGUAAGGCAGAGCUCUGCAAAAGCUCCAUUCCCCAGUUCGAAUCUGGGCGUCGCCUCCA
rnacentral:tRNA from 1 species